rnacentral:rRNA from 1 species
GAACGCUAGCGACAGGCUUAACACAUGCAAGUCGAGGGGCAGCACAGGUAGCAAUACCGGGUGGCGACCGGCGCACGGGUGAGUAACGCGUAUGCAACUUGCCUAUCAGAGGGGGAUAACCCGGCGAAAGUCGGACUAAUACCGCAUGAAGCAGGGAUCCCGCAUGGGAAUAUUUGCUAAAGAUUCAUCGCUGAUAGAUAGGCAUGCGUUCCAUUAGGCAGUUGGCGGGGUAACGGCCCACCAAACCGACGAUGGAUAGGGGUUCUGAGAGGAAGGUCCCCCACAUUGGUACUGAGACACGGACCAAACUCCUACGGGAGGCAGCAGUGAGGAAUAUUGGUCAAUGGCCGAGAGGCUGAACCAGCCAAGUCGCGUGAGGGAUGAAGGUUCUAUGGAUCGUAAACCUCUUUUAUAAGGGAAUAAAGUGCGGGACGUGUCCCGUUUUGUAUGUACCUUAUGAAUAAGGAUCGGCUAACUCCGUGCCAGCAGCCGCGGUAAUACGGAGGAUCCGAGCGUUAUCCGGAUUUAUUGGGUUUAAAGGGUGCGUAGGCGGCCUUUUAAGUCAGCGGUGAAAGUCUGUGGCUCAACCAUAGAAUUGCCGUUGAAACUGGGGGGCUUGAGUAUGUUUGAGGCAGGCGGAAUGCGUGGUGUAGCGGUGAAAUGCAUAGAUAUCACGCAGAACCCCGAUUGCGAAGGCAGCCUGCCAAGCCAUUACUGACGCUGAUGCACGAAAGCGUGGGGAUCAAACAGGAUUAGAUACCCUGGUAGUCCACGCAGUAAACGAUGAUCACUAGCUGUUUGCGAUACACUGUAAGCGGCACAGCGAAAGCGUUAAGUGAUCCACCUGGGGAGUACGCCGGCAACGGUGAAACUCAAAGGAAUUGACGGGGGCCCGCACAAGCGGAGGAACAUGUGGUUUAAUUCGAUGAUACGCGAGGAACCUUACCCGGGUUUGAACGCAUUCGGACCGAGGUGGAAACACCUUUUCUAGCAAUAGCCGUUUGCGAGGUGCUGCAUGGUUGUCGUCAGCUCGUGCCGUGAGGUGUCGGCUUAAGUGCCAUAACGAGCGCAACCCUUGCCACUAGUUACUAACAGGUAAAGCUGAGGACUCUGGUGGGACUGCCAGCGUAAGCUGCGAGGAAGGCGGGGAUGACGUCAAAUCAGCACGGCCCUUACAUCCGGGGCGACACACGUGUUACAAUGGCGUGGACAAAGGGAGGCCACCUGGCGACAGGGAGCGAAUCCCCAAACCACGUCUCAGUUCGGAUCGGAGUCUGCAACCCGACUCCGUGAAGCUGGAUUCGCUAGUAAUCGCGCAUCAGCCAUGGCGCGGUGAAUACGUUCCCGGGCCUUGUACACACCGCCCGUCAAGCCAUGGGAGCCGGGGGUACCUGAAGUCCGUAACCGAAAGGAUCGGCCUAGGGUAAAACUGGUGACUGGGGCUAA